UAUCUCUGUAGAGUCUGCAUAUCAAUAAGCGGAGGAAAAGAAACUAACAAGGAUUCCCUUAGUAACGGCGAGUGAAGCGGGAAGAGCUCAAAUUUGAAGAUCUUCAAGGUUCUACCUUGACGAAUUGUAGUUUAAAGAAGGUGUUUUCUGUUAGAUGAGUAGCAAAAGUUCCUUGGAAUGGGACAUCAUAGAGGGUGAGAAUCCCGUAUUUGGUUUUUCAUUCUAGCUUUGUGAUACACUUUCAAAGAGUCGGAUUGUUUGGGAAUGCAGUCCAAAAUGGGUGGUAAAUUUCAUCUAAAGCUAAAUAUUGGCGAGAGACCGAUAGCGAACAAGUACCGUGAGGGAAAGAUGAAAAGAACUUUGAAAAGAGAGUUAAACAGUACGUGAAAUUGUCAAAAGGGAAGCGUUUGACACCAGUGUUGUUUUUCCGAAAAUCAAUUACGAAUGGCUUGAUUUUGUGUUGUAUUGACCUUAUCAGCUUUCUUCACUUUUUUCGAGUCUUUCUUAAUGCACUUUUCGGUUAACAAGUCAACAUCAAUUUCUUUUGUUGUAAAAGAGUAUUCGGAAGGUGGCUUUCUUUUCGGAGAAAGUGUUUAUAGCCCUAUACUUCUACAAUCGGAGAGAUUGAGGUCUGCAGCGUAGAUCCUUCGGGGUUAGAUACAUUUGUGCUAAGUUGUAGCUUUUCAUAGACAACUUGUUGACUAUGUUUAGUCAUGCGGCUUACUCGCUUAUGCUAUUCUACCUACGCUUAGGAUGUUGACUGAUAUGUAGUCGUA
rnacentral:rRNA from 1 species